rnacentral:rRNA from 1 species
GAUGAACGCUAGCGGCAGGCUUAAUACAUGCAAGUCGAACGGGAUUUAGGAGCUUGCUUCUAAUGAGAGUGGCGCACGGGUGAGUAACACGUACACAAUCUACCUUGUACAGGGGGAUAGCCUUGGGAAACUGAGAAUAAUACCCCAUAGUUUUAAUUUAUCGCAUGAUAGAUUAAAUAAAGCUGAGGCGGUACAAGAUGAGUGUGCGGAUGAUUAGGUAGUUGGUAGGGUAACGGCCUACCAAGCCGACGAUCAAUAGACUGGCGUGAGAGCGCGACCAGCCACACUGGAACUGAGACACGGUCCAGACUCCUACGGGAGGCAGCAGUAGGGAAUAUU